GAUGAACGCUAGCUACAGGCUUAACACAUGCAAGUCGAGGGGCAGCGGGAUUGAAGCUUGCUUCAAUUGCCGGCGACCGGCGCACGGGUGAGUAACGCGUAUCCAACCUUCCGUACACUCAGGGAUAGCCUUUCGAAAGAAAGAUUAAUACCUGAUGGUAUGAUGAGAUUGCAUGAUAGCAUCAUUAAAGAUUUAUCGGUGUACGAUGGGGAUGCGUUCCAUUAGGUAGUAGGCGGGGUAACGGCCCACCUAGCCGACGAUGGAUAGGGGUUCUGAGAGGAAGGUCCCCCACAUUGGAACUGAGACACGGUCCAAACUCCUACGGGAGGCAGCAGUGAGGAAUAUUGGUCAAUGGACGAGAGUCUGAACCAGCCAAGUAGCGUGAAGGAUGACUGCCCUAUGGGUUGUAAACUUCUUUUAUACGGGAAUAAAGUGAGGCACGUGUGCCUUUUUGUAUGUACCGUAUGAAUAAGGAUCGGCUAAUUCCGUGCCAGCAG
rnacentral:rRNA from 1 species